GCAAUAAAUGAUCAUAUGAAACGGCAUCCACAAAUCCUAACUUCCAGAUGGUUUUUGUUUUUCAGAAGGAGGCAGGAGAGAGCAGACUCCCCUGGACCCAGCUGUGUCUCCAUGAAGAGUGACUGCUCUAUGGGUAUACCUCCUGACCUUAAAGAUGGACGUCCCUCCAGAGAGAAGAGCCCAGAGCAGCAGCAGAGAGCAGACUCCCCUGGACCCAGCUGUGUCUCCAUGAAGAGUGACUGCUCUAUGGGUAUACCUCCUGACCUUAAAGAUGGACGCCCCUCCAGAGAGGAGAGACCACACCAGAAGAAUUCAAAGGUUACCAGGUCUGUACAGAAGCAUCAAACAGAGCUGAUCAAGAGGGCUGAGGAGAACGCACACGCUUUCCUAGAUAAGGAG